rnacentral:lncRNA from 1 species
AUGUGAUGAGUUAUCUUGCUUGAAUAUUAUUAUGAUUGCUUAAACAAUUUAAUGUGUAAUGCUAUGUGAUCAUUAUAUAUUGAUUGGACAAUAAGUUGAUAAUGAUUGCACAGUACUCUACUAAUGUUAAAUCACUUAAAAUUGAUUUAAUUUUGAUGAUUACAAUCUUAUCCCUACUUUUUGAUACUGACAAAAAGGGGGAGAGAUAGGAAUGAAAAUAAAGAUUAUUAAGGUUAU